UGCCAGAAGACGGACCAUUUCCUGUCCUGC
rnacentral:piRNA from 1 species